GCCUGGGUAGCCCAAUUGGUAGAGGCGGCCGGCUCAAGUCCGGCGCGCUGGGGGUUCGAAUCCCUCCCCAGGCA
rnacentral:tRNA from 1 species